AAUUAAUUAAAAUAAAUAUAAUACAGUUCAUUAGUCACAUAAUUUAAGUGUUCAGUAGCCACAUGUGGCUAGUGACUACUGUAUUGACUCUGGUGUCCAUUGUAUUGAACAAUACAGAUAGAACACAGAAAAUUCUGUUGCAUAGUCUGACUCUAAAUGAUUUCAAUCUGACAAAAUUUGUUGAGGCUUGCUUCACAAACCAGCAUAUGCUCAGUUUUGGAAAAUGUUCUCGGUGCACCUAAAAAGAAUCAAGUUUCCUGCCAUUAUUGGUUGCACUGUUAUCUAUAUGUCCAUUAGAUAAUUUUAUUAAUCAUAUUGUCCAAAUACACUAUAUUCUUGGGCAUUUUUUCCUGCUUGUUCUCUUUUACUAAGAGAUUUGCAUAAGUCUCCUACUAAGAUUGUAGAUUUACCUUUCUCGUUUUAGCUUUGUCAAUUUCAGCUUUAUAUACUGUGAAGCAAAAUUGUUAGGUGUAUACACAUUUAGUAUAUUUCUAUUUUCUUGGUAAACUGUGUCUGGCUUAUUUCACAUAGUAUGAUGCCUUCAGUGUUCCUCUAUGACAUAGUGUGUAUCAAAAUUUCCUUUCUCUGUAAAGCUGAGUAAUAUUCUAUUGUAUUUAUAUACCACAUUUUGUUUAUUCAUUGUCUGUCAAUGGACAUUCAGAUUGUUUUCAGCUUUUGGCUAUUGUCAAUAAUGCUGCUGUGAUCAGUGUACAAAUAUUUGAGUCCCUUCUUUCAACCAUUUUGUGUAUAUACUCAGAAGUAGAAUUACUGGAUCAUAUUGUAAUUCAGUGUUUAAUUUUUUAAGGACCCACCAUACUGGUUCCUACAGUGGCUACACCAUUUUACAUUCCCAUCAGCAUUGUGCAAGAGUUCCAAUUUCUCACCAACAAUAUUAUUUCCUUACUUCCUUCUAGCCCUCCUUCCUUCCUUUCUUAAUGGCUAUCCUAACAGGUAUAGAAUGAUAUCUCACUGAGGUUUUGGUCUGCAUUUCCCUAAUGAUUAGUGAUACUGAGUAUCUUUUUAUGUGCUUUUUGACCAUUUUUAUAACAUCUUUGGAGAAAUGUCUAUUCAAGCCAUUUGAUCAGUUAAAAAAUGUGGUUAAUUAUUGUUGAGUUGUAGGGGUUCUUUAUAUAGUCUGAAUAUUAAUCCCUUAUCUGUAAAUCUAUGGCUGUUUCAUGUUGAUGUUUGAUAGAAAUGAAUACAAUACUGUAAAGCAAU
ensembl:lncRNA